rnacentral:tRNA from 1 species
GCUCGUCUAGCUCAGGCGGUAGAGCGCCUGGCUCUUAAUCGUGUGGUCUUGGGUUCAACUCCUAGUGUGGGUG